GCCAGUGUGGUGUAUUGGCUUGAGUGUUGGACUAGGACUCUGGAGACCAGGGUUCAACUCCCAGCUCAGCCA
rnacentral:tRNA from 1 species